rnacentral:lncRNA from 1 species
CUCAGAAAUUUACCUGGGGGAACAGGAAAACCCUCUUGCCACAGUCAGAAAUGAGCACAUUGUAAGGCACAUUGUUGUCUUGCAGCCAAAUGCAAGCAUUAGAAACCACAGUGGCCAGGUCGUCCAGGGUGUUCCCUCCCUCAAAUACCAGGCCUCUCACAGGAUAAUUUAUCAGCUUGGACACGGUCACCCCAUUCUUCUUCGUGUCCUCAGAGAGUGGGAUCUUGUGGGUAGCUGCCUUCUCAACAGGGAAAGGCACUGACAAGUAGUACGCCUUUAAAGAAGAAAAGAUAAUAUAAUUCAGUACUAAGCAACAUUUUUAAAACAAAAGUUACCACAACACUAUCUGCACAAUACUGAAUAUGCUCCUGUUUGGUUGGGAUUUUGUGGUGAGAAGUAAA